UUGCAAUGCGUAUUUGGAGUAUCAGUAUAUAUCAAUUUACUAAGUAAGCAAUUGUACCAGUACUUUUUGAAGCAAUAACAAAAUAAUCAUGAAGGUCUUGAAUUUCUUGAUGUUCUUCGUCAUCCUAUUGGCAUUCAACGUUGCUAUUGGAAGCGGAGAAAUAGUUAAGCGCUCUCCUUACCCUCAAGAAGACGAAAAACCUAGUUUAAUGGAUACAGUUAAAGAAACUCUUAACAAAGGCGACGAUUAAUAAAAAAAGAAUAACUUCUUUAGAAAUAUAAUGCCAUUCUAAAAAAUUGUAAUUAUUGAGUGAAAAUUAAUCAAAAAAUAAUUGUA